GACCAAAGUCACCCAGUGGGAGGCACCAAAUCCCAUCUGAUCUUGGAAGCUAAACAAGGCCAGUUCUGAUUAGUACUAGGAUAGACCUACAAUGAAUACCAGAUGCUGUAGGCU
rnacentral:rRNA from 1 species